rnacentral:rRNA from 1 species
AACGAACGCUGGCGGCAUGCCUAACACAGGCAAGUCGAACGAAGCCUUCGGGCUUAGUGGCGCACGGGUGCGUAACGCGGGGGAAUCUGCCCCUUGCUUCGGAAUAACAGUUAGAAAUGACUGCUAAUACCGGAUGAAGUCUUCGGACCAAAGAUUUAUCGGCAAGGGAUGAGCCCGCGUAGGAUUAGGUAGUUGGUGGGGUAAAGGCCUACCAAGCCGACGAUCCUUAGCUGGUCUGAGAGGAUGAUCAGCCACACUGGGACUGAGACACGGCCCAGACUCCUACGGGAGGCAGCAGUGGGGAAUAUUGGACAAUGGACGCAAGUCUGAUCCAGCAAUGCCGCGUGAGUGAUGAAGGCCUUAGGGUUGUAAAGCUCUUUUACCAGGGAUGAUAAUGACAGUACCUGGAGAAUAAGCUCCGGCUAACUCCGUG